ACUCAAAUGAAUUGACGGGGACCCGCACAAGCGGUGGAGUAUGUGGCUUAAUUCGAUGCAACGCGAAGAACCUUACCAAGGCUUGACAUGCAUCUCUAAACACGUGAAAGCGUGUGACCCUUCGGGGAAUUUGCACAGGUGCUGCAUGGCCGUCGUCAGCUCGUGUCGUGAGAUGUUGGGUUAAGUCCCGCAACGAGCGCAACCCUUGUGAUUAGUUGCCAGCGGGUAAUGCCGGGAACUCUAAUCAGACUGCCCAGAUCAACUGGGAGGAAGGUGGGGACGACGUCAGGUCAGUAUGGCCCUUACGCCUUGGGCUGCACACGUACUACAAUGCCCAGCACAAUGAGAACCGAUGCCGCGAGGUGGAGGAAAUCUGUAAAACUGGGCUCAGUUCGGAUUGGAGGCUGCAACUCGCCUCCAUGAAGUUGGAAUCGCUAGUAAUGGGGCAUCAUCUACGGCCCCGUGAAUACGUUCCCGGGUCUUGUACACACCGCCCGU
rnacentral:rRNA from 1 species